CAGGCCUAACACAUGCAAAUCGAGGGGUAGAAGCUUUCGGGCUUUGAGACCGGCGCACGGGUGCGUAACGCGUAUGCAAUCUGCCUUACACUAAGGGAUAGCCCAGAGAAAUUUGGAUUAAUACCUUAUAGUAUAUUUUUGUGGCAUCACAAGAUUAUUAAAGAUUUAUCGGUGUAAGAUGAGCAUGCGUCCCAUUAGCUAGUUGGUAUGGUAACGGCAUACCAAGGCUAUGAUGGGUAGGGGUCCUGAGAGGGAGAUCCCCCACACUGGUACUGAGACACGGACCAGACUCCUACGGGAGGCAGCAGUGAGGAAUAUUGGACAAUGGGCGCAAGCCUGAUCCAGCCAUGC
rnacentral:rRNA from 1 species